AAAAGAACAGAAGUUCAUCUGAUAGCUCUGAUAGUGAAACAGAAAGGGAUACCAAACAAACGUCCAAACCGGACCAUAAUCAGCAGAAGAAAGGGAAAGCUACAAAGAGGCAGAAGGACAGCACUAGGAAGUCUGCACAGGUGAGAAAAUCCAGUUCAUCAGGCAAGAGUAAAGCAAAGAGAAGAAAAUUGACAAGUUUAGAGGACGAGAGUGGUGGCAGUGGCAGUGAAUAUUUGUUCUGACCUAGUGUCUGCCAUUUGGGUUGAAAUGAGCUGGUUAUGGAGCACACACCUUCCUGGCCAUGGAAUACAUGAGAGAUGCAGAUGAGCAACGGGAGUUUGUGUCCUGGGUGCAGCCAGUGAUGAGCACUUGUGGUAUUAAAGUUAUCAGUUCUCUGGAAAGAAGGCCAGUAACGUUGAUCAGUGCAGUAUAUAGAGGAAUAGAUGACUGUAAAAUAGCAGCAAAUUUGUUGUGAAAGACAAAAACUAAGUAUCAGUUGUAAUGCAGAAAGGUAAAUGUACUAAAUAUUGUAAGAGGGAAGGAAGGUGACAAAGCAUGGCAGAAGUACACAACAUGUUUGAGGCAAAAUCAGUACAAAAAAAGGGACAAGAAAGUCCUCUUGAGAAAGAUGAAUUAAAUAGUAUAGUCAAAGCAGCCUCGUGCAAAGGCUGGUAUAAUUAUAAUCAUAGCUAAAAAUCAUUAAAAUGGAAAGGCAAGAAGUUUUAGUGGCAAACCAGUCAUGAUGCAGGGGUUGAAAUAGUAACAAGCAUUGAUAAAAAUGAUUUAUAAGAAACAAAGUGAUAGACGCAAACCAGUUACAUUGCAGAGCGAGGCUGGAAUUAUUAUAAGCAGAGACAUUACAAUAGCAAAAGGCAGAGACAAGAAGUGUUAGAGAUGUUCCAUUUUCAGUGAAAAGGCUAUAAGAACUAUAAGCAUAGACAACAACAGAGCUAAGAGGCGAAAUCAGCAGGAAAAAAAAUAAAAUCAGAGAAAGGAAAUUUUAGAGGCAAAGGAAGACAUUAGUGGCUGAAUGUAGAGGUGAAGACAGUACAAACGUGGUAGAGACAUGAAUAAACAGUGGCAAAAAUUAUAGCUUAAAAAAAAAAAUGUAUGAGAAAUUCAAAUGGAACAAACCAAAAAACUACAUAAAGCAGAAAGUCUUCAGUACAAAAAUGACAGAAAUAACAUGAAAUGUAGAAAAGAUGUGAUCAAGUUGAUGAUGCAAACAGUAUUACUAUUAGAAAUAUGUUGCUAAAAGAGUUAGACAUUUCCUGUACAAGCAGUUGACAGAACAGUUUGUUUGUCAACAAGUCCUGGUGUAGUUUACUACCAUUUUCAGUGGCAUACUGAUCAGUCAGCUUACAACAUUUGCAGAGUGGUCUUAAAGGAUCAAUGAAAAAUGAUGACACCUGACAGAAUGUAGCAUCCGGAGGAUAAAGGCCUAACAGAUGGGACAUUCUGGCUAAUGACUCAGAAAAUAGGAGACAAGAUGGCAUUCCUGUUGUUCACAAGGACUAAGUGCAGCUUAAAAGCUCCUCAGCAGCUGAGGUCACAAGUACUGUAACUUAUGGGGUCAUACUGGCAUAUUCAAGCAACCUAAAUAGAUCUGUGCUGUUCAACAGAAGAUUUUGCAAGAACGUUAAACAAGGCAAUGAAGUCACUUAUGGAUCCUGUGCCUGACGAAAACAUACUGUAGAACCAGAAAUGUUUGCCAUCUUUCCAGUUGGUGAAACAGUGUCACAAAAAUAAACAUGUUGUCAUGCAACAGGACUUUUAAAAAUUCAGUAUAAAAAUAAAAAUGACAAGAGAAUAUGUUUUGCAAGACAAGAAAAUUGUUCAUUUGUUAAUAAUCUUAACUUUCCUUAAAACUUAAACAUAUUUCAGUAAAAUUAUUAGAAUGACCAUAACUUAGUUACAGGGAAUUCUGAAACUGUGUUAAAGGCUCAAAGUUUCCCGACACCUGAUCUUAAACUUGCAAAAUUUUGCCUUUGCAAAAUUAUGUUUCCUCUUUACUGGAAAAUACGCAUAUUUCAUUACCUCUCAUGAACAGACUCAAUCAAACUGAGUAAGCUAUUAUGCUGCUUGAUUGCAUUCUAUGCUUCCAAAGGAUCUUCUCACAAAUUUUUAGCUCACCAGAGCACAAAGUG
rnacentral:lncRNA from 1 species